ACAAGUAUGAAUUCUCGGAUCCUAUCAGAAUUCAGAAUUUGGUGAAGAAUUACUCCCAGUUUGUUUCUUUCCCAAUCUACACUUGGCAAGAAAAAUCAAGGACAGUUGAGGUAGAGGAGGAAGAACCGCGAGAAGGAGAAGAAGUAAAGCCAAAGGAUGUGAAGAAAAAGAAGACAACUAAAACUGAGAAGUAUUGGGACUGGGAAUUAGCAAACGAAACAAAACGGAUAUGGAUGCGAAAUCCUAGUUGAAAAAGAUGAGUACAAUGAAUUCUACAAGAAGACUUUCAACAAAUUCUUGGAUCCCCUUGGAUACACUCACUUCACUACUGAGGGUGAGGUGGAGUUUAGGAGUGUUCUGUACAUUCCUGGCAUGGGUCCUCUUAACAAUGUGGACGUAGUAAACCCAAAAACAAAGAACAUACGCUUGUAUGUGAAACGCGUAUUUAUAUCAGCUGAUUUUGAUGGAGAGCUGUUUCCACGAUACUUGAGCUUUGUGAAGGGUGUUGUGGACUCUGAUGAUCUUCCACUUAAUGUUUCUCGCGAGAUCCUGCUAGAAAGCCGUAUUGU